GCUACGUAGAACUCUUCUAAUCACUUUUCUUAAACUCUUCUCCUUGGUGAUCCAGGUCUGGAUCUGUCCCAUGUCUCCCUACGAGUGCUGCCUGCCGCCGGGGGUGAUGUGCCCUGAGCCGUUUGCCCUCACCUCCAGCAAGACCUGUGUCAUAAAAUACCCCGAUACAAUAGUGGACAUAGUGGACCCUGACUCUCCACCAUAUUCUGUGAUAUAUCCUGGCCCAACUCUCACCACUUUCCCUCAGCAAACCAUAGUGGGAUCUACUGCGUUGUUCGAUAUCAGAAACUUACUCGGUUCCAGGGGAUCUCAUGGGUUUAGGGAACCUGCAGGCCAGCCUAAAUCCAACAUGGAUAUCUGUGGAUAAGUGAAAAGCAGAACUGAACUGUAAGACAGAUCACGACUAAGUUUAUGGAUAAUGGAUUAUAGAAGUGCUGAGCUUCCACGGUUCCCAGUGGAGUCACUAAACGCAUGGCUUCCUGGCACUAGACCUGCAUGAGGACUAGAAUUUCCAAACUGCGAGAAACUGAAAUUUCACUAUUGAUCUUAUUCAAAAUUAGGAUGAAACAAAAAAGCAGACUUUUCAAAGUAACAAGAUUUUCAAAAAUACAUUUUUUUGGUUUGCUAAAAAUGUAUCUCUCAAUAAAUUCAAGUUUUUAUGCCAA